ACCUAACUGAACCUUCGGGGAACGUUAACGGCGUCGAGCGGCGGACGGGUGAGUAAUGCCUAGGAAAUUGCCCUGAUGUGGGGGAUAACCAUUGGAAACGAUGGCUAAUACCGCAUAAUGCCUUCGGGCCAAAGAGGGGGACCUUCGGGCCUCUCGCGUCAGGAUAUGCCUAGGUGGGAUUAGCUAGUUGGUGAGGUAAGGGCUCACCAAGGCGACGAUCCCUAGCUGGUCUGAGAGGAUGAUCAGCCACACUGGAACUGAGACACGGUCCAGACUCCUACGGGAGGCAGCAGUGGGGAAUAUUGCACAAUGGGCGCAAGCCUGAUGCAGCCAUGCCGCGUGUAUGAAGAAGGCCUUCGGGUUGUAAAGUACUUUCAGCAGUGAGGAAGGUGGUGUAGUUAAUAACUGCAUCAUUUGACGUUAGCUGCAGAAGAAGCACCGGCUAACUCCGUGCCAGCAGCCGCGGUAAUACGGAGGGUGCGAGCGUUAAUCGGAAUUACUGGGCGUAAAGCGCAUGCAGGUGGUUUGUUAAGUCAGAUGUGAAAGCCCGGGGCUCAACCUCGGAAUUGCAUUUGAAACUGGCAGACUAGAGUACUGUAGAGGGGGGUAGAAUUUCAGGUGUAGCGGUGAAAUGCGUAGAGAUCUGAAGGAAUACCGG
rnacentral:rRNA from 1 species